UCGCGUCAAGCGCCGUAGGCAGGAGCGGGGGACCCAAGGUAAGUGCCGGGCCCGGCGGUUGACCGCCGGAACCGGCUCGGGGUGAAGCCGCGCACCACGAGGUGCGCGGCCGGGCAACUCAACCGGCCCGAACCCGACAGCUCACCUCGCAGGCGUCGGUGAGGGGAUGA
rfam:Streptomyces sp. DSM 15324 genomic scaffold PRJNA299231_s005, whole genome shotgun sequence.